AAGCGAGAAGCAACCGUUGCAAUCAGUUUCGACCUGAUCCUAGAUAAUACAUUUAUCCCCGCUUU
rnacentral:tRNA from 1 species